UUUCCUGAAGACAAUCAUGUGAUAACCCUAAGCGGACCACAUAAAUGUAUUAAUCUCAUAUCCCUAAGUGUUAUGGAGAAUGGAGAAACCUCCAUACUUUGGCAUUCCUGUGUAUGGGGAGUCAAGAAUGAAAGGAAAGGAGCGGUUUUGUAGUGAAAAUACAAAACUGCUGAGUAACAGCAACAUGAGUGUACAGGGACUUGCUGUGGAGUGGCCUCCAGUGGAAGUGGAAACUCCGUCAUUCAAAGCAUCAAAGUCUUAUGACUGUUGGGAGUCUCACGGUACCGGCUGUUCUUCUUAAAUCUCCGGCUUCUGGAGCUGAAGAGUUCGUCAGCAUUUCCACGUACCUUACACAGCAACACACGGGUUCUCCUGCCUGUGGAGGAAAGCUUGGGACAAGGGACUCGGCAUCGUACCCUUGAAUGAGUGGGUAAGUCUCCGGUGGCAGAGCCACAGCUGACCCAGGGGACAAGCAAAGGCAACUGAUGGAAACAGAAGCCCCUUGAGGCUGAUGAUGUCUGACGGCUCCUCAUAAUGCUUUAUCACGUGUGGGAGUCUCAUCUGGAUUUUGGAAGGACAUGAUCUGAAGGCAGGACAGCUAUUUCAGUGAGUGAAAUCGAGCGGAAAAUCUCUCUUCUCCGUGGGAGCGCUCCAGCCCUGGCCCGGCGGAGCGGUCCCGUGCGUGAAAGCCCCCAGCGGUGCCUGCGCUGCGCUGGUCCCCAGCGCCGUGCCGUGGACCCAGGAGAAGGGACGUCGCACCAGGGAGAUGCUUCUUCUACCAGAGCCAGGAAUAAAUUACAAGACUAUUUGCCGGUGCUGCUGUGUGGGCACCAGCAAAUGACAGCUUCGGUCACCAUCUUCUGUACCUGCUGACCUGCUCGUGUGAAAGGGGCUGUACAGGUGUCAACGGCCAUCUUCAUGGACAUGUGGGGCAGGAAGAACGACGUUUCUGCCAUUGUGACUUCAUUUUUGCAUGGCCAUAGUGAAAGUCAGGGCCAUUUCAACAGCUGGUGGGGCUCUCUUUGGAGGGCCACAUCCCAAAGCACAUUUUGAGAGUCUUUGUGCAGACACUUUGGACUGUUUGUGCGUUAGAGAUGCUAACUCCAUGUUGGGGAAGAUCUGGGGAAGACUCAGUUUACAGCCCUGAUGUUUCAUUUCUCAGGAAAUUGCAAAAAUGUUUCCCAGGUUUUAUGUGUGAGAGAGCGUCUACUCUGGUUGUCACUCAGCUGCGGAGCACUACAAGGCCCAAAUCCAGAGGUUAAGCUUGUCUUAAGUUGUCAUAAUCAACUCGUUGGUGUGCCUAAACCAUCUGAUCCUGUCUUUGCUCAGUUUUCAGGGCAAAAAAAGAGCGGGUCACAGGUACGCAAGUCUUUCAGCAGGGCGGUACUUGGUUUGGAGGCUGUGACAGAAUGUGAAACCAGAUUAGUUUCACGUGAAAUCAAGUUUUCCUACUGGCGUUCUCCAUGAGCGCACUUACCAUCGGAGCUGCAGCGAGCUGGAAAGCUGCUUGACAGGAACUUGGAAGCAGAGCUGAGGUCCAAGGUAUUCCUCAGUGCCUCAGCUGGUGCAAGGAACGGAGGCCUGUCUGUGUAUUUCACACGUGUCUCUGCUUUCUGUCAUGAGCAAGACCCAGUUAUAAUGUAACAUAAAGUGCAAGGGACGCUAUAUACUAUCUAGUAAUACCGACGUGAACUUUCACUGAAAUCAUUACGGUAUGCACAAAACUUCCUUUUAUUACAUUUCACAAAAUAUGCUGAAAUUGUUAAUUCAAGCACUCAAAAAUUAGGCUAGCCAAGCAUUAAUAUUGUAACUAUAAUGCAGCCUUUUUUUCUCUUCCUAUGCUUGAUUCAGUUAAAUAAUAAUUGCCUUAUUCUGUACUGCUUCAUUCACUGGACGCUUACUGGUUAUUCAGGAUUUUAAUAUCCCCUUUUAAUAUGUGGUCCCAGAUGUUUUGUACUGCACAUUAUUCAAAUGCUGCCGGAAUACGAAAGUUAAUUGACUUGUCUACAUUUCCGUGGUGGUAUCACCAUCAUAUCCGAAUGCUUCUCAAAAUCAAUUACUUCACCUUUGCAUCGAUCCUGUGUAACCUCAUCUGGGUGUUCCUGGGUGAUCUUUCGAGGUCCCUUCCAAUCCCUAACAUUCUGUGAGUCUGUGAUCAAUGUUGCGAUAGUCAAUCAUAUUACUAUCCCCUUUUACAACCAAGUAGAGAAGACAGCUACUCAGCUUCCAUGAGACUCCAAUGAGUAUUUGCGGAGUAGUGUUUCUGAAGUGCACGAGUUAGUCAGACACAGGUAAAGACUGAGUCACAUUAGGGGCCGCAAGAGAUUCAGACACCGUGCUCAUUCCCACAUCACCAAUCAUCCAGCCCUUACUAAACAGAAGGGAGGAGGCAAGAACUUCUCGGUGAAAUGUGUGUGAGACUGUUAUUUUUAUAGUGUUUUUAAGCUUCAGAGACAUCACCCAGGUAGGUCAGGAUGUCAGGGACUAAACAGCAACACUUUCAGCUGCCUGGUGUGAUGAAAACCUUACACAGACUCUCUCAUCCUCCUGUUUGCCUCCUUGUAUGGUGGGCUUGUGACUAGAAAAGCCCUAAUUAGCUCUCAAACAAUUCCUGAAACAGCAGGUGGAAUUUAUUCCCACAGUUCUUUGGUGCGUUCCUUUUUCCCUGAGCACAAAAGGAAACGUAGUGCUGUCUCAGAGGCCCCCCCAGCUGGAGUUACUUGUGGAUGAUGCCUCAUCUGUUUCUGUUGCCGACGGAAACGUGCGGGUCAGUGCUGACAAGCAGGGCUCGUGCUCUGCUUCCUGCGGCCGGGGGAGGAGCUGCUCUGGCGUUCGGGGUGCGGUCCCUCGGGCUGCGCGGCUGCCGCGGGUUGCUGCUCGGGUGGCAGCCAGCCGGCCAGCGCAGCUGUGGUGCCACAGCCCGGGGCUGCCCGGCCCGCAGCACUGGCGCUCCCACGUCAUGUCCAAACUGCGUGUGAAUGGGAACUGACGGUGACACUUCCAGUGAAGAAAUACGUUUUCUGAAGCUACAUGCAAUAGCUAGACUUGUAAAUGUCUGGAAGCUAUUUAAGAAUGUCAGUCUAUGAGUGACUUUGUAUAUGUGCAUGAGUCUCUUAAUAUCAGAGAGAUUUCCAACUUUUCAAAUAACAUUAAUGCUAUCCUCUAGCAUGCAAAUUGCACACAAAUCAGCUACAAUAAAUUAUAACAAUUAAAAUGUUAAGAGGCACGUUAGUUCAUUUUCUCUUGCCAGUCUCUGUGUUUCAAAUAAUGCUUUCUGUGUGGUGGCUUACUACCAUUCAUGAGAGCAUCAGUACACUAAUCAAGCAUUAGCAUUAAUCAAAUAAAUAUAAAAUUCUGCUCUGAACACGUCUAGAUGACAGAGGAGCCUAGAUGCUGGCAGGUAGAUGUGCUUUACUUGUAAAAGCAUCACGACUUGCAGGUCUUGCACAGCAACCACAGAACGGUUUGGGUGGGAAGGGACCUUAAAGGUCAUCUGGCUCCAGCCCCCAAUGGGGGAGGAAUUUUCAGAAAAUAAUUCUAAACCAGAUGUAGUUGAAUAGACCCGAGCAAAAAGGACCGAUAGCUGUCAACCUGAGGCGCGUGCGUCCCUUAAGCAAAGGAGCUUCUGCUUUCUGGCAACGCAGAUCACUGGGGUUUUUUAAAGAUCAUUUUCUACAUCUGUUUCCCCCUCUUUUGCCUUUGUGACCUCGCACAGAUGAUGUAGGUUUUGAGAGAGCUUUGAGACUUGCUGACAUUGUAAGGCUGGAGAUGGAGUCCGUAAUUUAUUAGAUUUCCCUGCAAGCACCAGACUUACCUUCCUAACUUAGUUUCUCAGGCACCUACAGUUGGCUGGUAGAAAAGGGACCAUAUUAUUUUUAGCUGAACUGCUAUGGAUAUAGUAAUGUCUGCAGCAAAUUAAACGAGAAGGAAGGACACCUGUUUCACCCCCUUGCUCACACCAAGGCAGCGCUGGGAGGUGAGCACCGGCACUGGGGAGCAUUUAUGGUACGGGAACAAAGACACGGUUGACCCCUGACGUCAUUUAAAGCUACUUGAUGCCAAGGACUUCCUAACUUUUUAUGGAUAUUGAAACAAGUAAGUCAUGGAAAUGAUGACCGACUCCAGCUACACGGGAGCAGAGAGAUUAGCUGCUAAUAUGGAAAGUUACCUGGCCAGCGCUGAGAUCAGUCUCGAGGGAAGGGGGAGACCAGAGCCGGGCUGCUGAAACCGUGAGGCAACGUGGCUGCUGAUGAAGAGGAGCUGGAGCUCAGGAUGGCUGGGAGAGGAAAAGGUUUUCUCUGCUGAAGCCAAAAGUGUCGUCACAAUGUGGCUGUCGGACGGAGCUGCGUUUUCUAGCUGCUUGAUAUUAUGGGAAUAAAAAGCAUGAGGAAGUUAUGGAAUUUAGACUGUGAAGUGCAUGGCAGGAAGAGCGGUAAAUCAAGGACCAGCACAAGACUGGAAAGCCUCUACUCGACCCUUAGCAAAAUAUCAGCAAAGAUAUUAUUUUUGUUAGAAUGAAUCUUUGCCUUAGGAUGGCUUGAAAGACACUGUGUGGGUCACUGUGCAGCCAGCUAUUUAGGUCCUGUAAAUUAGAUUCAUAGAAGACAAUGAUAAUGGCUGGAAGUGGAACUAAGACAUUAAAGCUUUCUCUCUCUCUUUCUUGUUUGUUUGCUACUCAGUCCUGAUAAUUCGUGGGGUUUUGGAUAAUUUUCUUCCUGAACACUGACACACAAUUGGUAUAGAAUGUUGGCAUAUAAUGUAUGCGUUAUGUUAGCUUAAGUUUUUGGUAAUUACAGAAACCUGCCACCUUGGAGCUGCCUUCUGCUUCCAUUCUUGUCUCUGACUUUGGUGGUUGAAAUUUCUUUUAGCAUCAUAAAAUUCAGUGUUGUAAAAUUCAUAUUGUAACUUUAAAAGCCACAUCUGUUUUAAACAUUUUUGUUUUAAGAACUUGAUAUGAAUUUAAUGACAGGGCUACAGAAGUACAAGUUGAAGGAAAUUAUCACAGGUCUGUAAAGCCGUAAGAUAAGUUUCUGCACUUCUGUGGGCCAUCAAAUAACAAAGAACCCAAUUGAUUUUAUUGUAUCAGUUCUGCUCUGAAAGCAUUUCAUGGUUUAAUCUACGAGCAAGAAUUAACGUUGCAUUUACAUUACUAUUAAUAAUGACAGCUAUCCCCAGAUGUAGGACAUUGUCAUUAGCACAGAGACACGGACACCAUGUUCAGAAAAAAAUUCUUUACAGUGUUUGACAAUAAUAAAUUAUCAACAUAUUUUGUGUGCCA